rnacentral:tmRNA from 1 species
GAUCUUGAUUAUCCCUUUUUUAUUUUUUAUACUGAAAAAGCUCUUUGAGCUAUGACGAUAAAUACUAUGCAUAAUAAGUGUUUCGGACCCGGGGGCAGAGCCCGGCACCUCCACCUGAAGAUGGAAUAACUUUUUUCAGGUGGGGGUGAUUUAGGAUUGACGUGCAUUGAACUGUAUAGCUUUCGUUCGAGAUGGUACCGGCGUUAUUGGGCCAAAAACAUAGAUGCGAACAUUAAAAACGCAUAUGCUUUCUUGAAGAAUUCUGUCCGCCCUGCGAACAGAUUCACACCUCUUGCUAUGGCAGCUUAACGCGCCCUAGUAUUUAGGUUCUAGAAAACAGCGGUUUGGGGGGCACCGGGCAACAGAAAGCCCCCCA